rnacentral:rRNA from 1 species
AUACGUAGGGUGCAAGCGUUAAUCGGAAUUACUGGGCGUAAAGCGUGCGCAGGCGGUUUUGUAAGACAGGGGUGAAAUCCCCGGGCUCAACCUGGGAACUGCCAUUGUGACUGCAAGGCUGGAGUGCGGCAGAGGGGGAUGGAAUUCCGCGUGUAGCAGUGAAAUGCGUAGAUAUGCGGAGGAACACCGAUGGCGAAGGCAAUCCCCUGGGCCUGCACUGACGCUCAUGCACGAAAGCGUGGGGAGCAAACAGGAUUAGAUACCCUGGUAGUCCACGCCCUAAACGAUGUCAACUGGUUGUUGGGGAUUUAUUUUCUCAGUAACGAAGCUAACGCGUGAAGUUGACCGCCUGGGGAGUACGGCCGCAAGGUUAAAACUCAAAGGAAUUGACGGGG